AAUAUCUGCAAAAUUAAAGUGCUUUAAUAUAUUACAAGAUAAUAGCACAUGUCAAGGAGGAACCAUAGAAACCAACAAGUGCUUCCCAGGAGGAAGAAGAGCCAAGAAAAGACCUACUAUAUCACAAGUGGGCAAAAUUCGUCAGAGCAAGACAAGUUAUUCUUUUUGCAUGGAGAAUGAAGAUGUAGCCAAAGAAGCAGCAAAUGUUUAAAACUUUUACGUUCACAGUGCCCUCUACUGGCUGUUCCAAAAAAGGAAACCAACACAAGCAAAGCUAGACAUUCAUUCUGCAAGUUACCAACAAGCAGUACUGAACAACGG